GCGCUCGUAGCUCAGCUGGAUAGAGCAGGAGACUUCUAAUCUCCCGGUCGCAGGUUCGAAUCCUGCCGGGCGCG
rnacentral:tRNA from 2 species